rnacentral:rRNA from 1 species
ACGCUGGCGGCAGGCCUAACACAUGCAAGUCGAGCGGUAGCACAGAGAGCUUGCUCUCGGGUGACGAGCGGCGGACGGGUGAGUAAUGUCUGGGAAACUGCCUGAUGGAGGGGGAUAACUACUGGAAACGGUAGCUAAUACCGCAUAACGUCGCAAGACCAAAGUGGGGGACCUUCGGGCCUCAUGCCAUCAGAUGUGCCCAGAUGGGAUUAGCUAGUAGGUGGGGUAACGGCUCACCUAGGCGACGAUCCCUAGCUGGUCUGAGAGGAUGACCAGCCACACUGGAACUGAGACACGGUCCAGACUCCUACGGGAGGCAGCAGUGGGGAAUAUUGCACAAUGGGCGCAAGCCUGAUGCAGCCAUGCCGCGUGUGUGAAGAAGGCCUUCGGGUUGUAAAGCACUUUCAGCGGGGAGGAAGGCGGUGAGGUUAAUAACCUCAUCGAUUGACGUUACCCGCAGAAGAAGCACCGGCUAACUCCGUGCCAGCAGCCGCGGUAAUACGGAGGGUGCAAGCGUUAGUCGGAAUUACUGGGCGUAAAGCGCACGCAGGCGGUCUGUCAAGUCGGAUGUGAAAUCCCCGGGCUCAACCUGGGAACUGCAUUCGAAACUGGCAGGCUAGAGUCUUGUAGAGGGGGGUAGAAUUCCAGGUGUAGCGGUGAAAUGCGUAGAGAUCUGGAGGAAUACCGGUGGCGAAGGCGGCCCCCUGGACAAAGACUGACGCUCAGGUGCGAAAGCGUGGGGAGCAAACAGGAUUAGAUACCCUGGUAGUCCACGCCGUAAACGAUGUCGAUUUGGAGGUUGUGCCCUUGAGGCGUGGCUUCCGGAGCUAACGCGUUAAAUCGACCGCCUGGGGAGUACGGCCGCAAGGUUAAAACUCAAAUGAAUUGACGGGGGCCCGCACAAGCGGUGGAGCAUGUGGUUUAAUUCGAUGCAACGCGAAGAACCUUACCUGGUCUUGACAUCCACAGAACUUUCCAGAGAUGGAUUGGUGCCUUCGGGAACUGUGAGACAGGUGCUGCAUGGCUGUCGUCAGCUCGUGUUGUGAAAUGUUGGGUUAAGUCCCGCAACGAGCGCAACCCUUAUCCUUUGUUGCCAGCGGUCCGGCCGGGAACUCAAAGGAGACUGCCAGUGAUAAACUGGAGGAAGGUGGGGAUGACGUCAAGUCAUCAUGGCCCUUACGACCAGGGCUACACACGUGCUACAAUGGCAUAUACAAAGAGAAGCGACCUCGCGAGAGCAAGCGGACCUCAUAAAGUAUGUCGUAGUCCGGAUUGGAGUCUGCAACUCGACUCCAUGAAGUCGGAAUCGCUAGUAAUCGUAGAUCAGAAUGCUACGGUGAAUACGUUCCCGGGCCUUGUACACACCGCCCGUCACACCAUGGGAGUGGGUUGCAAAAGAAGUAGGUAGCUUAACCUUCGGGAGGGCGCUUACCACUUUGUGAUUCAUGACUGGGGUGAAG